rnacentral:lncRNA from 1 species
AAAAAAUGAAUGAAGAUACUAUAGUUGUUAAGCCUAGCAGAGGUUGUGCUCCUCAACAAGCAUUAUGAUUACAAAACUGAACCAAGGUUGAGACAACAACUCCAUCUUAAAGGUGCCAAAUGCUAACACGAGCGUCUGGUUAUGGUGGUUACACAAACAAUUUUGAACCCAGAAAAACAAUCAAAAAGGAGGUUGCAAGAGGAAAAAAAGAAUAUUAAACUGAUAAUGCUGGUUGAAAAAGAUCAAAGCUUUUGCUUUAAACAAAAAAAUGGAGGACUAAAAAGUAAAUAAAUUGCAGUGAAGACAGAUGAUCAAUAAAAGGGUAGUUUGAUUUAUAUUUACAAGAAAACCCUUGAUCUAAAAUGUAAACAUAUAGUUGAGGCACAAAAUGAUGGAACAAGAUUUGUCAUGAGGCUAGUAAUACAAUUCUAAACGUCUAGCACAUUGUGUACAAAAAUACUUCCUCUUGAUCUUGGAACACAUGGGUAAGAAGCAAAACCUCCAUUGUCUAUCAACAUCCAUGGCUUCAACUUUACCAGCACAGUAAGGGCAUGAUCCUGGGGCUUGUUGUCUCCCAAGUUCCUUAUCUUCUUCCUCACCAAGGCACAUGAACCACAUUUUGUUACUCUUCUUUGGUUUGAUGGGGAACUUAGAGUGUUGCUGUGUUGUUGUUUUGUGAGGUUGUGGGUGCUGAGAACAAUGGAGAGUGGUCAUGUGUGCUGUACACAACUAAGCUAGUUGGUCAUAUUUAUACUGAAAAUGGUUUGUAUUAGUAGCUGUGGGAACCUUCUAGACUUGUUUUAUUCCCUCCAGAUCAAAUCCAUAAUUAGGAGAAUUCAGAUUGUCUUUGUGCG